CAAUCUGCAGCCUCUGCCUCUGGCCACUCACCAGACAAGCUCCCUGAAAACUCUCCUCUCAAACACAGAGACAAUGAGACUUUGGUUAUAUCUUGUUCUCAUUGCAGCAGCGUGUGAAGGUGCCCAUUCUCAGGUGCAGCUGGUGGAGUCCGGAGGGGAUGUGAAGAAGCCCGGAGACUCUCUCCGCCUCUCUUGCAAAGCCUCCGGCUUUACCUUCAGCAGCUACUACAUGGGCUGGGUCCGUCAGGCUCCCGGGAAGGGACUGGAGUGGCUCGCCUGGAUUCACGGUUCUAGCAUAUACUACAGUGACUCGGUAAAAGGGCGAUUCACCGUCUCCAGAGAUGACCCCAACAGCCUGCUGUACCUGCAGAUGACGGGCCUGAAGCCCGAGGACACCGCCCGCUAUUACUGUGCGAAAAACACAAUGAGGGGAAUCCCGAUACUGCUAAUACAAAAACUCAAGAGGCAGAAUCUCCUUUCUGCCAUAGGCCGCGAGGGGGCAGCACGUCCACAAACACUCCACCCCUGGGCACAGGAACGGGAUCUACAGCCAGAGCGAAUAAAUCUCUCUCAGCAGGUGUCCAGUCCCAGGUCCAGAUGGUGGAGUCUGGAGGGGCUGUGAAAAAGUCACCUUCGGAGACUACUGGAUGAGCUGGGUCCAUCAGGCUCCUGGCAAGGGCCUGGAGUGGAUCUCUCAUAUAAGCUAUUGGGACAGCAGUACUGUACAUUACUCCAGCUCGGUCCAAGGCCGAUUGACCAGCUUCAGGGACAAUCCCAACAACCUGCUAUAUCUGGAAAUGACCGGCCUGAAAGACACCGCCCGGUAUUACUGUGCGAG